AGCGAACGCUGGCGGCGUGCUUAACACAUGCAAGUCGAGUGCGCAGUUCCGCUGUAGCAAUACAGUGGGAUGGGCGCACGGCGCACGGGUGAGUAUCACGUGAACAACCUGCCCUUCGGACGGGGAAUAACCCCGCGAAAGCGGGGCUAAUACCGCGUACGAUUCCGGGGACUUCGGUUCCUGGUCUGAUAGCUCGCAAGGGUGACGGAGGAGGGGUUCGCGGCCGAUUAGCAGUUGGCGGGGUAACGGCCCACCAAGGCAAUGAUCGGUAGCCGGUCUGAGAGGAUGGCCGGCCACACUGGAACUGAGACACGGUCCAGACUCCUAC
rnacentral:rRNA from 1 species